rnacentral:ncRNA from 1 species
UUCUUUAAUGUACUGUCGAGUGGCUUAAUAAACAGGCUGUUAUUACGCAGGUUAACAUCACCUUUGGCCGUCACCAGCGAGCCAUCAAAGGGGAUAUCCAGAUGUAAGCGAGCAUUCACAUCGCCGUCAAUCUGGAGCUGCUCCAGCGUGGCGCCCAGUGAAUCCUUCAACGGCGUCUCAUCAAAAUACGGUCCAACUGCCUUGCCCGGACCAUUAAUGUCGGCAUCAAUUAGCAGCUUUUCUUUCGCGUAGUCGGGAAUAUCAGCUGUCAGGUUGCUGGCUCUCACCCCACCUAAAUUGACGCCGUCGGUCUUCAUCCACAGACCGUUAUUCAUGAAGUUCAGCUCAAUGUUGAGAUUGGUAAGCGCUGGCCAGUCAGGCUGGAAAGCAAACUUAGCAUUGCGCAGCGGCAC